AUAAAAUUAAAUCAAAAUUAGCCAAUAAUCUAAGAAUUCGUUUCUUAUUUAAGACUUUUAAGAAUCGUUUUUUAAGAGCCAGGUGUCUAUUCGUGAUUGGCUAGAUUUAUUGAAAAGGAAAAUAACUUCUCUCUUCUACGCGACUCUCUCUCGACGCUUCUCUUCGCUCACUCCGUCGCCGAUUCGGUCGCCAACCUCCGUCGCCAACCUCCGCCGCCGAUUCGGUUCGAUUAGGUGCUUCUCUUCGCUCUCUCCGAUUGUGAACUGCCUUCAAGCUCAAGAACUAUUGGCGAGAGAGAGCUUGGUGAUAGCUCUUCUGUUAUCCCUACUCAGAGCAAACUGAAUUCACUAACUGUCAUUGAUCAGGAGAGAGCAAGGAAAGCUGCUAUUGCAGGUACGCAUCAUCUGCUAGCAUGAGCAUCAACACACAUUAUCAUGACUCCGAGUCAGCCGUGGAAGCUCGGAGAAGACUCUGUAUCUAUGGGAAGAAGACUGUGUAUCUAUGGCUUCUGCCGUUCCAUUGAGAUGCUUAGUGAUGUUGUUGAAGACACUGUCUUAGAACAUGGUGAUUGGUGGAGAGGUCGUUGCUACAGAGAAAGAGAUCAAAGGUGGUUUACAAGAGAAGCUAACAAUGACGGUGGCCGGUUCCAUAUCUCUGGGGUGUUCCUCCGGCUGCAGAAAGGCUUCACCGUGCGGUUCGAACUGGCGGAGGCAUCGUUGACAAAGUUUAUUGGCAAUGGUUUUUCUUGUGAUUCUUGAAAUUUCUCCAAUAAUAAUGGGUUCUUCUAUUGUAUAUAAAAAAUAUCAUUGUACAAAACCAUUACAUUUGGUAUAUAAAUGCCACUAAA